GACGAACGCUGGCGGCGUGCCUAAUACAUGCAAGUAGAACGCAGUGGCGAACGGGUGAGUAACGCGUAGGUAACUGCCUAAUAGAGGGGGAUAACUAUGGGAAACGGUAGCUAAUACCGCAUACUUUAAGAUUGACCCGCGUUGGAUUAGCUAGUUGGUUAGGUAAAGGCUUACCAAGGCGACGAUACAUAGCCGACCUGAGAGGGUGAUCGGCCACACUGGGACUGAGACACGGCCCAGACUCCUACGGGAGGCAGCAGUGGGGAAUUUUGGACAAUGGGCGCAAGCCUGAGCCAGCCAUGCCGCGUGUAUGAAGAAGGCCUUCGGGUUGUAAAAUACUUUUAUUAGGGAAGCGGUACCUAAAGAAUAAGCACCGGCUAACUACGUGCCAGCAGCCGCGGUAAUAC
rnacentral:rRNA from 1 species